GCAUCGCAAUAGAUGCGAUAUAAAAUUUGAUAUUUAUUUUGCCGUGCUAAGCGGGGAGGUAGCGGUGCCCUGUACCUGCAAUCCGCUCUAGCGGGGCCGAAUCCCUUCUCGAGGUUCGUUUACUUUAAGGUCUGCCUUAAGUAAGUGGUGUUGACGUUUGGGUCCUGCGCAAUGGGAAUUCAUGAACCAUGUCAGGUCCGGAAGGAAGCAGCAUUAAGUGAAACCUCUCAUGUGCCGCAGGGUUGCCUGGGCCGAGCUAACUGCUUAAGUAACGCUUAGGGUAGCGAAUCGACAGAAGGUGCACGGUAAAUCAAUCAUCAAAUUUUCAGACUCACCUAUCAUUAGGUGAGUUUU
rnacentral:SRP_RNA from 1 species